rnacentral:rRNA from 1 species
AGCCCUAUUAGCAUAUAUUAAAGUUGCUGCAAUUAAAACGCUCGUAGUCGAAUUUUUAGUCUGGAUAAUGUCCAAAAAAUUGGUACAAUAUGUAGAUUAUAAUAUAUUACCUUGAAUAAUUUAGAGUGUUCAAAGCAGGCAUUUGCUUGAAUACGUUAGCAUGGAAUAAUGAAAUAAGACUUUAUUUUAUUGGUUAAUAAAUUUUGUAAUGAUAAAUAGGGACAGUUGGGGGCAUUUGUAUUUAAAAAGGAGAGGUGAAAUUCAUAGAUUUUUUAAAGACAAACUAAAGCGAAAGCAUUUGCCAAGGAUGUUUUCA